rnacentral:rRNA from 1 species
UACGGAGGGUGCAAGCGUUGUUCGGAAUCACUGGGCGUAAAGGGCGUGUAGGCGGUCUGGCAAGUCCGAUGUGAAAUCCCGAGGCUUACCCUCGGAAGUGCAUUGGAUACUGGCGGGCUAGAGUCCCGGAGAGGAGGGUGGUAUUCCUGGUGUAGCGGUGAAAUGCGUAGAUAUCAGGAGGAACACCGGUGGCGAAGGCGGCCCUCUGGACGGUGACUGACGCUGAGACGCGAAAGCGUGGGGAGCAAACAGG